ACACUUCACAUUAAGCGGGCAGGCCCUAUAUAGGUCCUGCCCGUUUUUUCGGGCUAUGGCGAUAAAAUGCGGUGUGCACUAGGCACAGCGGACCCGGGGGCAGUACCCGGCGGCUCCACCACAAACACUGGGAAACCAGUGGUUUCUGACGGGGCCGAACUAGGAUCGACGUGUGUUGAAAGGCACUGUUUUCGCCCGGGCUGAGAUCCCCCGUUAAACGCUCACAACACACAAGUGCCAAUGAUAAUGAAGCACUCGCGAUUGCUGCGUAAUUUGACGUCCUAACGGACUGAAUUUACAAAGCUUAAGCGCGGUUGGACCGACCGGGCAACAGAACGGAUUCCGG
rfam:Erythrobacter marinus strain HWDM-33 contig3, whole genome shotgun sequence.